UACGUAGGUGGCAAGCGUUGUCCGGAUUUACUGGGCGUAAAGGGCGUGCAGGCGGUCUGUUAAGUCUAGGGUGAAAGCUCCCGGCUCAACUGGGAGAGGUCCUUGGAUACUGGCGGACUUGAGGGAGGCAGAGGAAAGUGGAAUUCCCGGUGUAGUGGUGAUAUGCGUAGAUAUCGGGAGGAACACCAGUGGCGAAGGCGGCUUUCUGGGCCUUGCCUGACGCUGAGACGCGAAAGCGUGGGGAGCGAACCGG
rnacentral:rRNA from 1 species